rnacentral:rRNA from 1 species
GAAUAUUGGACAAUGGGCGAAAGCCUGAUCCAGCCAUGCCGCGUGUGUGAAGAAGGUCUUCGGAUUGUAAAGCACUUUAGUUGGGAGGAAGGGCAGUAAGCGAAUACCUUGCUGUUUUGACGUUAACGACAGAAUAAGCCACGGCCAACCCUGUUCCAGCCGCCGCGGUAAUACAGAGGGUGCAAGCGGUAAUCGGAAUUACUGGGCGUAAAGCGCGCGUAGGUGGUGCGUUAAGUUGGAUGUGAAAUCCCCGGACUCAACCUGGGAACUGCAUCCAAAACUGGCGAGCUAGAGUAGGGCAGAGGGUGGUGGAAUUUCCUGUGUAGCGGUGAAAUGCGUAGAUAUAGGAAGGAACACCAGUGGCGAAGGCGACCACCUGGGCUCAUACUGACACUGAGGUGCGAAAGCGUGGGGAGCAAACAG